GACAAAGGGGGCGAGCGUUGUCCGGAGUCACUGGGCGUAAAGCGCGCGCAGGCGGCAACCUUAGUGUCGUGUGAAAGCCCCCGGCUCAACCGGGGGAGGCCAUGGCAAACUGGGUCGCUCGAGCUGCGGAGAGGCCACUCGAAUUGCCGGUGUAGCGGUGAAAUGCGUAGAGAUCGGAAGGAAGACCAAGGGGGAAGCCAGGGGGCUGGCCGCAGGCUGACGCUGAGGCGCGACAGCGUGGGGAGCAAACCGG
rnacentral:rRNA from 1 species